rnacentral:rRNA from 1 species
GAUGAACGCUGGCGGCGUGCCUAAUACAUGCAAGUCGAGCGAAGCGGGGACGGGUGAGUAACAUGUGGAUAACCUCCUAUAAGACUGGGAUAAAUUCGGGAAACCGGAGCUAAACCGGAUAAUUAUAGCUGGAUCCGCGUGGCAUUAGCUAGUUGGUAAGGUAACGGCUUACCAAGGCAACGAUCCAUAGCCGACCUGAGAGGGUGAUCGGCCACACUGGAACUGAGACACGGUCCAGACUCCUACGGGAGGCAGCAGUAGGGAAUCUUCCGCAAUGGGCGAAAGCCUGACGGAGCAACGCCGCGUGAGUGAUGAAGGUCUUCGGAUCGUAAAGCUCUGUUAUUGGGGAAGCGGUACCUGAUCAGGAAGCCACGGCUAACUACGUGCCAGCAGCCGCGGUAAUUC